rnacentral:sRNA from 1 species
CAAAGAGACCGCGAAACCGUUAGGAGGGAAACGAAUGCAGCCCGAUGGGCUUCGUUCGGGUUCAGGGGCGGUGGUACGUUCGGAGUGGCGUGGUGGACCCACAUGGGCCGCCUCGUCAAUUGCGGAUCGUCAGUCGCUCUGCAUUCCCGUUUGGCAAGCCGGCCAACGUCGGUUCGGUUCGGCUCACGAGGGCGGUCGGGAAGGUGCCUCGCUGUGUCGCCUCGGCGAGCGCAGUGAGUGCUUACAGUCGAUCGUUCGGCAGUCGGACGCUGCGGACCGAGGAGAUGUGUGACGCUUCACACCCGGCAGCGCAGGUUCGCCGUCUCGGCGGCGGGCCGGGUCCCUUCUGACCGUUGGGUGGUCGCUGCUGGGACUGCCCGUCAGUGCCAGCUGACGUCUCGCCCCCUCGGUCGGGAGGUCGAUCACGCCAUGCGCUGCAGUCGCUGGCUGAAGGAAGGCUGCAUCCGA